rnacentral:rRNA from 1 species
UACGAAGGGUGCAAGCGUUACUCGGAAUUACUGGGCGUAAAGCGUGCGUAGGUGGUUCGUUAAGUCUGAUGUGAAAGCCCUGGGCUCAACCUGGGAAUGGCAUUGGAUACUGGCGCCUAGAGUGCGGUAGAGGGGUGUGGAAUUCCCGGUGUAGCGGUGAAAUGCGCAGAUAUCGGGAGGAACACCAGCGGCGAAGGCGGACACGUCUGGGCUGGAACUGACGCUGAGGAGCGAAAGCGAUGGGUAGCUAACGAGGA